rnacentral:rRNA from 1 species
AAACCAACAGGGAUUGCCUUAGUAACGGCGAGUGAAGCGGCAAAAGCUCAAAUUUGAAAUCUGGCACCUUCGGUGUCCGAGUUGUAAUUUGAAGAAGGUAACUUUGGAGUUGGCUCUUGUCUAUGUUCCUUGGAACAGGACGUCACAGAGGGUGAGAAUCCCGUGCGAUGAGAUGCCCAAUUCUAUGUAAAGUGCUUUCGAAGAGUCGAGUUGUUUGGGAAUGCAGCUCUAAGUGGGUGGUAAAUUCCAUCUAAAGCUAAAUAUUGGCGAGAGACCGAUAGCGAACAAGUACAGUGAUGGAAAGAUGAAAAGAACUUUGAAAAGAGAGUGAAAAAGUACGUGAAAUUGUUGAAAGGGAAGGGCUUGAGAUCAGACUUGGUAUUUUGCGAUCCUUUCCUUCUUGGUUGGGUUCCUCGCAGCUUACUGGGCCAGCAUCGGUUUGGAUGGUAGGAUAAUGACUAAGGAAUGUGGCUCUACUUCGGUGGAGUGUUAUAGCCUUGGUUGAUACUGCCUGUCUAGACCGAGGACUGCGUCU